ACCGGCGUGCAGCUUGCUGAGACUUGAGGAUGGCGUGCCGCGGCCGGAGACCCGAACAUGGCGGACCUCCGGAACUGUUUUACGACCAGAAUGAAGCCCGGAAAUACGUUCGCAAGUGAGGGGAGCCUGGAUACCGCGCGGCGUCUGGCUCGAGGAUGAUUGAUGUCCAGACCAAGAUGACUGAGCGAGCAUUGGAGCUCCUUUGCCUGCCUGAGGGACAGCCCUGUUACCUGUUGGAUAUUGGCUGUGGUACUGGGCUGAGUGGAGAUCAGCUCACGGAUGAAGGGCACUAUUGGGUGGGCAUGGACAUCAGCCCCGCCAUGCUGGAUGCUGCCUUGAAUCGAGAGGCGGAGGGAGACCUUCUUCUGGGUGACAUGGGCCGUGGUAUUCCUUUCAGACCCAGUUCCUUUGAUGGUUGUAUCAGCAUUUCUGCUGUGCAGUGGCUCUGUAAUGCUAACAAGAAGUCUGACAUCCCUGCCAAGCGCCUGUACUGCUUUUUUUCUUCUCUGUAUUCUGUUCUUGUCCGUGGGGCCCGGGCUGUCCUGCAGCUGUACCCGGAGAACUCAGAGCAGUUGGAGCUCAUCACAACCCAGGCCACGCGGGCUGGCUUCACGGGCGGUGUGGUGGUGGAUUACCCCAACAGUGCCAAAGCCAAGAAGUUCUACCUCUGCCUAUUCUCUGGGCCUUCGGCCUUUCUACCCAAGGGGCUGAGCGAAGGUGAGGACGGAGAGGAGGCCACAGAGUCCAAGUUCACCAAGGACAGUCCUUCCCGGUCCCAGCCCCUUCCUGGAGACACCAGCUGCCCUGGGCUCGUCCUGGUCACCCGGAGCAGCCCUUGGGCCUCCGUGCAGUUACGGCCCGUGAAGGACGAGGCUGCUUCUGAGCACUCAGGGCCGCGCCUGCAGGAGCUGACGGACUCCUGUGGCCAGCACCCCUCGAGCUCUGUGGGGAGCACUGUGCUGGGGCCCCGUACAGGCUGGCGCGGCGGGGCGUGGUGAAGAAGAGCCGAGAGUGGGUGCUGGAGAAGAAGGAGCGCCGCAGGCGGCAGGGCAAGGAGGUCCGGCCUGACACCCAGUACACCGGCCGCAAGCGCAGGCCCCGCUUCUGAGCCCAGUGCCAGCCUCCGCUACGUUUUCUGGAUUGACUGACAACACAGUGUUUAGAAGAGUUCUACAGUUCUAAGAAUAGUUUUUCUAAAGUUUCUAAGAGCUUAUUUUAUUCUAAAACGGAAGCAAUAAACCACUUUCUGUGGGA